GGAGGCUUGGGAUUGCAGAGGGCUCAACACGUGGGCAAAAAGGGAGCGGAAGGGUUAUCUCUGAAGCUAGAAAGAGAACACAGAAGUUACUCGAGGAGAGAUCAGUUGCUUUUCUGGGCCAGUUUCUUCCUAACCUGGAGCCUUGGAGAAGAGAGACCAACAGUCAGCAGAAGGAGAAAGGGAAAUGGUGGCAGCCCUGGUAGGACACGGACCUCCCUACAAACCACAGGCUCCUGAGGCAAAGACAGAGCUAUAAAUACCAGUCGGUGAAAAGCAGAACAGGGUACACCCCAUGGAUUGAUCCGCAGGCCAGAUCAAGUGGCACCCAGCGUGGGGGCUCCUAGCACGGGGGAGUCAACGGAGUCAACGAGGGAGCCGUUCGAGAUAGCUGGCUUAAAGUGAAAGCAAAUUAAACCAGAGACCAAGGUGACACAACUCUCCGGAGCCCUAUGCUGCCUACUCAGCCUUCUCCUUGAGCCGUACCACACCCAUGGUGGAUUUAGACCCCUGCCAAACAGACUACAACUGCUGACAGCCAUGCACAGAACCCCCUGUGACGGCGGAGGAGGCUCUUCUCGGUCUGGAGGAACAUAAACCAGCCAAAUAGACUGCGUCCGGUGUUAUGCGAGGCAAGCUCCACAAAAUUAAGAACGACUUCAACAGUGACAACAACAAAUGGCUGCCAACCCCUUCUCCUCGAUGUGUGUGUGUGUGUGUGUGUGUGUGUGUGUGUGAGCUUUUCCCUUACCUAGCGCCUCUUUUGGGUCCCCUAGCUGCCCUAUUGCUUCUUCUUUCUGUGAGUCCUUGUAUUUUUCAGAGGAUUAUGACGCUCA